CCGAGUGGCGGCCGGGGGCAAGCGAGGCGCGACAUGGCGGCGCGGCCGGCGGGCCCGGGCGGCCCCUCGCGUGCGGGAGGGGGCGGGGCGAGGCGCGGCCCGACCGACGACGGGGGCGCUUUCUGCCGGGCGGCGCCGGGACUACACUUCCCAGAGGGCCCCGCGCGCCGCGCGAGACGAGAAAACCCUUCCGGCGCAGUGCGCAGGCGCGAGAGUUCCGCCUGCUAUAUAAGGCAAGUCUCGAGCGUCUCUGGCCUUUCGUUUUCGCGGCGCGCCGCGGUAUGUUCACUUUCUCAUCUCCUCCCGUCGCGGGCCGCCCCGCACUGGGCAUGGCAACGCUGGCCGCAGGACGCGGUGCCGGGAGCGGACGGCGUGGACCUCGCGGGGGGCUCCCGGGGGAUCGCCUGCGCGCCCGUCUUGGGGCUCAGGUAUGAAGCGGACUGGCAUGGGUCCGGAAGAAGCCACGUGAGAAAGAAUGUCCCCUCGGUGACCACGUGCUAGUGAGACGGAUCUGCGGCGUGGAGUAGAUACGGAAGGCUUGGUGACGGGACAAUAAGGUUUACCAGCAGCCUGGCCUUAACUUCGCAGCUGUUUGAGGCAGUUGCCCGGCUGAAGUUGGGACGGAUUGUCCAGCGGAAGGUCAGCUUCUCAGGCUCACAAGCUUGAGUGGCCUAAACCAAUGUCAAUCAAAAUUUUUAUUUUUUUUUAAAUAAAAAUCUAUAUUAUUCAAU